AAUAUACAAGUUUUCACUCUUUGAAUGAAAUUACGGAAAUAAAACUUUUUGGUCAUAUUCUAAUUUAUUGAGCAGCACCUGUCACCCUGCGACUCUUGCCAAGUUGAAGUCGCGUAAAAGUGGUGACGUCAUGAAGAACAGCAGCUCAAAUUCAAAGUUUUCGAGUCUUUACAUGGGAACAUUUUUCCUCAAAAAUAUUGGUUACAUUCCAAAACUUAUUCAUGGGAAUAUUGAGGGUGCGAAUAUGUUGGCACAUUUACAAUUAGUUUUAAAUUAUAAGGAAUCUUUGAGUAAAUAUCAGCAUCUAAUUGCCGGGCCAAAUGUCCUGGUUUUCGGUAACAAAAUAUGGUCACCCUAUUUGAAUAGACUUAUAACGAAAAAUAUGACUAACUUGCUUGGAAUGAAAACGAAAGUACACAUCUACACUACAAACGUUCCCAUGAUGCAUUUCCGUUUCGGCUAGUAUUUCCGGGUUCCCAUCAUGCAAUCUUCCGUAAAAAAUGGCGUCCGAACCCUUUCACAACAAAUAGAUGUAAGUUAUUGCUAUUAUCUUUUUAUUCGCUCACUGGUGAGUUUAUUACAGUUAAAUAAUAUUGGCGUUGCCAGCAGUCUUCACUAUGCCGAAAUAUUACGAAGAUAAAGAAGAAGACAACACAGCCUGUGCCGGUGUCAAGGAGGACUUUAAGGCAUGUCUCCUUCAACAUGACUGCGUCAUUAAGGAGGGGAAGAUGCCAAGUGAAUGUCUGAGAGAAGGCCACUGCAAAGCCCUACAGACGUUGUUCUUUGAGUGCAAGAGAUCCAUGCUUGACACGAGGUCAAGAUUCAGGGGAAGAAAGGGAUAUUAAAAACCCAAAAUGGCGUCACAUGCUGAAGACUGGAUGACCGACUGUUCGUCGUGUGCUUCACCUCCCGAUGUAAUGAAAUGCACACAUCAAGACAUCAGCGACCUACAGUACGUAAAGAAAAGCACCUCAUCAAUACACUAAUCACAACAACACGGCGUGCGAGGAUUUGAUGAGUUGGUCGACAUAAGCGGGACCGACUUGAGCAGGUUCCACUGAACGAACAUUCCGUGUUGCCCCCCAUGAUGUAGAGCCCUCGCAGCUUGCUCGGCAGAGACGGAUCCAUCCUCACAGCCAAAGCCAGGUUGGUGAGGGGCGCCGUGGCAACCAGAGAUACCUGAGACACGUCAAAUCAAGCAACUGUUUCUAACUUAUUUUUGGAACCUGACUGAUUUAUCAUACAGUAUCAUAAACAAUUGGUGGAUGCCCAUGGAAUACAUUGUGGUUAUCUACUUGAAUAAUUCAUGUUUGGGUCGCCACACCUCUCCUGGGUUCUCUUUGACUAUUCUGAUCAUAGCCGACACGGCAUCUUCCUGCUGCACCAGGUCCAGACUUGGAGCGUUUGGGUCGGGGGCGUCUCCCAGCCCGUCCUGGCCGUGAAAGUCUCCCGCGUUCAUCGUGUUGCCGAGGAGGGGCUUAGCAGCACCUUUAAACACCGGAAUCUAGCACAGGAAAUUGGCAUUUAGUGCGCUAUGUUAAACAGUUAAAAGCAAUGUUUUAAAGCAGGGGUGUCCGGCGCUUGUUUUUUUAUUGGCCCACAGGACAGCGUAGAAGUCAAAUUAAAAAUUUUUCAAAAAUGUGAAAAUGGGGAGAAAAAAAAAAGAAUGUAACAAGAAAACAUUGAAAUGUUGAUCCUAAUAAUUCUACGAUAUGUCGCCAACAACACUAAGUUUUGUCCGUAAAUAUCGAUCAUGUCUUUUUCUUAAAACUAAGUGGAAAUAUGGCAUCGUUUGAUUUUUUCAGUAUGCAGCGCUCGGUUGAAAAAGUUUGGACACCCCUGUUUUAAAGUGUAUUAAGCAAACUACUAAACAACUCAUCAGAUCUGAAAAAGUCGUAUUUAGAGAAUCAUUCAGAAAUGAGCUAGAAAUGAGUCACUGCUUUAUUGUUAAGCAUUUACUGCAGGCAGGAAAGUGUAAGGUUGGAAAAAAUGAGUAUUUUUAUUUUUAAUAACACAGAUAACAUAAUACUGUAUAUUUUUAAAAAUAACUUUUUAAAUAAAGAAGAAAAUGCAAUCACCGAAAAACAUUCUUAACAAUA